rnacentral:lncRNA from 1 species
AGACUAAUGACUGAAGCUUCAAGACUUUGACAUGUGUGAAAACAUGAAAUGACCCUUGGCUCUUAUUGUUCUUGCUGGUGUGGUAUGUUCACGGCUGAAAAGGUGGUCAGAAGGGGAAAGGAGGAAGUGAGAAGAAAGAAACAGGGAAAUGACAGAGUGUUGCUCAGUUGCCCAGGCUAGAGUGCAAUGGCAUGAUCUUGGCUCACUGCAGCCUCCACCUCCUGGGUUCAAGUGAUUCUCGUGCCUCAGUCUCCCAAGUAGCUGGGAUUACAGCAGGCUGAGGAAUUACCAAGGAGGCAGGAGGUGGAGCAAAACACACCAAGCCUGAUGCCAGUCAUUGACAAUAUUAUGGAACUGACUCAGCGCAAGAAGACAGCUUCGACUCCUUAUGAUUUCAUCCCUAACCAAUCAGCACUCCUGGCUCACUGGCUUCCCCCAACCCACCAAAUUGUCCUUAAAAACUCUGCUCUCCAAAUGCUGGGGGAGACUGACUUGAGUAGUAAUAAAACUCUGGUCUCCCGCA